rnacentral:rRNA from 1 species
UACGAAGGGGGCUAGCGUUGCUCGGAAUCACUGGGCGUAAAGGGUGCGUAGGCGGGUCUUUAAGUCAGGGGUGAAAUCCUGGAGCUCAACUCCAGAACUGCCCUUGAUACUGAGGAUCUUGAGUUCGGGAGAGGUGAGUGGAACUGCGAGUGUAGAGGUGAAAUUCGUAGAUAUUCGCAAGAACACCAGUGGCGAAGGCGGCUCACUGGCCCCGAUACUGACGCUGAGGCACGAAAGCGUGGGAGCAAACAGGG